GACGAACGCUGGCGGCGCGCUUAACACAUGCAAGUCGAACGGAAAGGCCUGCUUUCCCUUGUGGAUUGCGGGUACUCGAGUGGCGAACGGGUGAGUAACACGUGAGUGAUCUGCCCCCAACUUGGGUAUAAGCCUGGGAAACUGGGUCUAAUUCCCGAUAGGACUGCAGGGUGGUGCCUGUGGUGGAAAACGAUUUUCUAGUGGUUGGGGAUGAGCUCGCGGCCUAUCAGCUUGUUGGUGGGGUAAUGGCCUACCAAGGCGGCGACGGGUAGCCGGCCUGAGAGGGUGGACGGCCACAUUGGGACUGAGAUACGGCCCAGACUCCUACGGGAGGCAGCAGUGGGGAAUAUUGCACAAUGGGCGGGAGCCUGAUGCAGCGACGCCGCGUGGGGGAUGACGGCCUUCGGGUUGUAAACUCCUUUCGACCGCGAGGAAGCCACCUGGUUGGAAGGGUGGUGACGGUAGUGGUAGAAGAAGCACCGGCUAACUACGUG
rnacentral:rRNA from 1 species